UACGUAGGGGGCAAGCGUUGUCCGGAUUUAUUGGGCGUAAAGAGCGUGUAGGCGGCCGCACCGGUCCGUUGUGAAAACUGGAGGCUUAACCUCCAGACGUCGAUGGAAACCGUGCGGCUAGAGUCCGGAAGAGGAGAAUGGAAUUCCUGGUGUAGCGGUGAAAUGCGCAGAUAUCAGGAAGAACACCCGUGGCUAAGGCGGUUCUCUAGUACGGUACUGACGCUGAGACGCGAAAGCGUGGGGAGCGAACAGG
rnacentral:rRNA from 1 species